rnacentral:rRNA from 1 species
AUUGAACGCUGGCGGCAUGCCUUACACAUGCAAGUCGAACGGCAGCGCGGACUUCGGUCUGGCGGCGAGUGGCGAACGGGUGAGUAAUGUAUCGGAACGUACCAUUCAGUGGGGGAUAACGCAGCGAAAGUUGCGCUAAUACCGCAUAUUCUGUGCGCAGGAAAGCAGGGGAUCGCAAGACCUUGCGCUGAUUGAGCGGCCGAUAUCAGAUUAGCUAGUUGGUGAGGUAAAGGCUCACCAAGGCAACGAUCUGUAGCGGGUCUGAGAGGAUGAUCCGCCGCACUGGAACUGAGACACGGUCCAGACUCCUACGGGAGGCAGCAGUGGGGAAUUUUGGACAAUGGGCGCAAGCCUGAUCCAGCCAUGCCGCGUGAGUGAAGAAGGCCUUCGGGUUGUAAAGCUCUUUCGGCCGGGAAGAGAUCGUAUGGGUUAAUACCCUGUGCGGAUGACGGUACCGGCAUAAGAAGCACCGGCUAACUACGUGCCAGCCGCCGCCGUAAAAC